rnacentral:misc_RNA from 1 species
GUCAAGCAGACCGACACAUAAGGUACAGUUCACACAAGCUAACUCUAGUUCUUUAACAGUCAAUAUCGCGCUCAGCUCUGCCCUAAUGGUUGCCUUGUUUAGGCAUCCAAAGCAGUUGCAGUUACACAGGGCAAUGUGUGUUAGGCCAAAAAAGAUGUUGCAAAUCCACAGUUAGCUUCAAUGAGAUUCAGCUGAGUCAUAGUGAGACCAAUACUCCUUUACAAGCUGCCCAAAUAGUGAAUUUUCUUGCUUCAUCAGUUUCAUUGGUUCAUCAUACUCAACUAGUUUCCCAUCACUAAUGGCCAGAACCAUUG